UUGGAGGAUUUGAAUACUUCAACUUGCAGACUUGAAUAAUCUGAAGACUUCAACCAACAUACUUGGAGAAUUUGAAGUCUUUAAUU
rfam:Solanum tuberosum cultivar DM 1-3 516 R44 scf00067_161, whole genome shotgun sequence.